CCUACGGGUGGCAGCAGUGGGGGAUAUUGGACAAUGGGGGGAACCCUGAUCCAGCGACGCCGCGUGAGUGAAGAAGUAUCUCGGUAUGUAAAGCUCUAUCAGCAGGGAAGAAGAAAUGACGGUACCUGAGUAAGAAGCCCCGGCUAACUACGUGCCAGCAGCCGCGGUAAUACGGAGGGGGCAAGCGUUAUCCGGAAUUACUGGGUGUAAAGGGAGCGUAGGAGGGGAUGGAAGACUGGCGUGAAUGGCGGUGGCCCAACACGCGAACUGCUCUGGAGACUACGUGGCUGGAGUGCAGAAGAGGUGAGCAGAAUGUGUGGUGUAGCGGUGAAAUGCGUAGAUAUUAGGCGGAACACCAGUGGCGAAGGCGGCUCACUGGACUGUAAUUGACGUUGAGGCUCGAAAGCGUGGGGAGCAAACAGGAUUAGAUACCCCAGUAGUC
rnacentral:rRNA from 1 species